rnacentral:tRNA from 1 species
UCCCCCGUAGCUCAACUGGCAGAGCAUUCGACUGUUAAUCGAAGGGUUACUGGUUCGAGUCCAGUCGGGGGAGC